rnacentral:lncRNA from 1 species
CGUCACAGCACAGACGUGGUACGUAGGCGCACCUGCGCAUAUACGUCAUCUUUCCGGCUUGGAGCGCGGCGCCUGCGAGAAGGGAAAACGACGUUUGGUUUGAAAUUUCAGCUCCUUCCGCGGUGCGUAGCGCUGUAAUACUUAGCAGACACCAUCGUUAGCACGCAUUGUAGGCACUGCGCUUGUCAGCUCAAUAUGGCGAGAUCUGGUGAGGGGCCCUUUAAGAUAAAUGGCCGUUUUUAAGU